GAUCAUAGCAUUUUCCUUGACAUUUCCAGCUUCAUGCCUGGCGUUUUAAUCUAAGGAGCAGGCAUCUGUAAUGGCUUUGAUUUCAUUUCUACCCCAUUUCUGAACGGGCAGCACGAGUUGUGUAUAAUCCACCAUGAUCCGUUUUAUAUUGCUCCAGAACAGGCAAGGGAAGACGCGUCUUGCAAAAUACUAUGUUCCACUUGAGGAGCCUGAGAAGCACAAAGUUGAAUACGAGGUUCACCGAUUGGUCGUAAAUAGGGACCCAAAAUUCACAAUUUUUGUUGUGGGACUCGCUAUAUGAAAUCGAUAGAGAGCAAUCCGCAUGAGAAUAUGAAGUAGCCAAGUUUCAAGGGGUGCCCCUAGUUCCUAUGGAUGCCUCUCGGGGUGUGCAGGUCCUUGGGCUUCCACGAUGGGCCUUGCGGUGGGCCGCGUUCGAGCAGCACUUUAUGGCCUGGUCGAGUCCCGCUUGUUAUGCCGGAGUUAUUUUUGGGAGGGGUGAGGAGCCUUUGUCUGCCCUCUCGGGUCCGGACCAAAAAUUUGUAUAAAAUACAAUUUUUGUUAUUUUAUUUUUUCUGGUUUGGGAAUCAGUAGUUGUUAAAAAUGACAUCCACAAAAUUUGGACACAAAAAGGGGUCCGUAUUACAAAUUGGUUUAUUAAUUUUAUUUCUCAAAAAGGAAUUAGUUCAUUAAUUGGUCCUAACUUUCAAGGGGUACCUCUUGAAUUUAAAACCACUUAAUGGGCAAUUCGUAUUCGUUUAAGUGACCUUAUUGGCCUUAUUUUACCUAGAGAUCCGUGUCCCUUUCAUUGAAACAGCCUAUUUUUAAGGAUUCUAGAAAUUGAAACGCCUUAUUUUUAAGGUUUUUUGAAAUGUUUUUUUGGGUAAAUAUUUCGUGAAGAACUAUUAAAUGAUAAUAUUAGCGUGAACUAAAUCGUUCAUGAGUCUUAAAUCUUAAUCCAUUUCAAUCUUAAUCCAUUUCAUUGAAACAGCCUUUUUUUAAGGUUUCUUAAAAUUGAAAAUCCGGUUUCUUGAAAUUGAAAAUCUCUGUUUUU